UAGCAAUACAUUGAAGAGAGGGUGUAUCAUUGAAACAGGAACGUGCUUGAAGAAAUCAUUAUCUACUUCAAUUCCAUCCUCUGGUGGCAAUGUGCUUGUUGCAGGCACAUUUGUUUAGUCAACAAGACCAAUUUCUUUCUUAAAGCUACCAAAAGCUGUUCAAUCUCUCUAUGCUUUUUAUAAUAUCCACUCAAACUUGCCUGUAUAGUUAUUGUCCACAUCCUCGGUUAAAAGAGUUACCUCCGAUGAAAUGCAAGCACUUACAGGGCUCAUGGGGUUGGGCUGUUUGAAAUUACACAACUUCAUUGCCAAAAUUGAUUUUUAUUAGAUGAAAGAAUAAAGGUAGAUGUUUAACAUGUUCGGACAUAAUGGAUCUGAUUAUGGUCGUGACUACUAUUGCUUGCAAAACAUUUGGUGGUCUUUCUUAUGCAUCUAAUUGCAUUCAAUA
rnacentral:misc_RNA from 1 species